rnacentral:rRNA from 2 species
CGAACGAUGAAACUUAGUAGACUUCUUCGGAAUGACACUAAGCGAAUUAGUGGCGAACGGGUGAGUAACGCGUGAGUAACCUGCCUUACACAAGGGGAUAGCCUUUGGAAACGAAGAAUAAUACCCUAUAAAACUAUAAAAGCACAUGCUAGAAUGGUCAAAGUGCUAGCGGUGUAAGAUGGACUUGCGUCUGAUUAGCUAGUUGGUGAGAUAAAAGCUCACCAAGGCAACGAUCAGUAGCCGGCUUGAGAGAGUGUACGGCCACAUUGGGACUGAGACACGGCCCAGACUCCUACGGGAGGCAGCAGUGGGGAAUUUUGCACAAUGGGGGAAACCCUGAUGCAGCGACGCCGCGUGAUUUAGAAGGCCUUCGGGUUGUAAAAAUCUUUUGUAUAGGAAGAAAAUGACAGUACUAUACGAAUAAGGUCCGGCUAAUUACGUGCCAGCAGCCGCGGUAAUACGUAAGGACCGAGCGUUGUCCGGAAUCAUUGGGCGUAAAGGGUACGUAGGCGGCUAGAAAAGUUAGAAGUCAAAGGCUAUAGCUCAACUAUAGUAAGCUUCUAAAACUAUUUAGCUUGAGAAAUGGAAGGGAAAGUGGAAUUCCUAGUGUAGCGGUGGAAUGCGCAGAUAUUAGGAAGAAUACCGGUGGCGAAGGCGACU